rnacentral:rRNA from 1 species
UUAAAACACCGGUUCCCAUAAGAUCACCAAAGUUAAGAAACAUUGAGCCUGGUCAGUAUUUAGAUAGGUGACCGCUUGGGAAUACCAGGUGCUGUAAG